GGAAUCAUUUUUCAGAGCAUCUCAUUUAUAAAAAGGUCCACACCAUCUGCUGAGAGAAAAAGAAAAAAAGUGGAAGCUGGGAGAGGAAAAUGGGAUAGAAUGGGAUGGUAACAUAUUAUUCUGAUACUAAGUAGGAGACUAGUGUGAACCACUAUGGUGGCAGGAUGGUUUAAACAGCUAGGCGUUAUAGAAACAAAGACUGGAUCACAGGGAGGUCAAGGGAUUUGCCCCAGUCAUGAAGCUACAACUGUUAUCACAAGAAACUGGGAUCAUAAUUAUUAGAGCUGGCAUGUCACUGAAGACCCAGCCAGGGCUGGAGGCAUGCUGUAUGCACAUCAACAUCUUAAUCUUCACGACAACCUCAGGUGGUAGAUAUACUACAAUUGUUCCCAUUUUGCAGAUAAGAAAACAAAGGCUAGCCUUAGGAAUACACACAGAAUUAGGACCCUGCAACCAAAAGACUCUCCUGACAUCCAGGAAUCAGAAGAUUCUGAAAAUCUGAUCCAUGGUAACCGGAUACAGAGCAGGGGUGUGCAAUCAUGGGAAGAGGAUCUGGGGGCUCCCUGUGAGCCAGUCUUUGUUUUUGUAACACCUAACUGGUUGGGCUGUCCUGUCACCCCAGUGGUUCACGCUGUAUCUCCUACUUAGUUCCAGAACGAUAUGUUACCAUCACAUGUGAUACCGAGAUAACAGGCUUCCCAGGUGCAAAGUGGUAAAGACCCUGCCGGCCAAUGCAAGAGACUCAAGAGACAUGGGUUUGAUCCUUGGGUUGGGAAGAUCCCCUGGAGGAGGGCAUGGCAACCUACUUCAGUAUUCUCGCCUGGAGAAUCCCAUGGACAGAGGAGCCUGGCGGGCUACAGCCCAUGGGGUCGCAAAGAGUUGGACAUGACCGUGAUUGCAUAACAACCUGGAUAAUUUUAAUAGACUGUAUUGCCUUGACAGGUUAUGGGGAGAAAGGAAGGGGAUGGGCUGAAGAUUGGUGGGUCAGCCCUGUUCAGGAGUAAGGCUGGGGUGAGGCUACAGCACAGGGUCUGGGGGUGGGACUUGGGUAAUCGAGAGAGCCAGGUGUACCCCUUUUCCCGAUAAUCCCUACAACCAGCCCCGCAGAUGCAGCAGCAGCCACGGGAGCCCUGGGCAUCGUGCAGGAAGUCAUCCCUGGCUGCCUGCUCCUUCCUCCCCCUCCCCUGCUUCUCCCCUUCCUCACCCCAGCCUCUCAGAGCUGCCCGGCUCUCCUGCAGCCACAAUCAUUACAACACUCCUGGGCCUUCCUCCCCUUUAUGGUUGUCAAAUUGAUUUCACCACUGCCAUACCUAUGGCUCCCAAUGAAACUUAAUUAAAAAUACCAUUUAAUCACAAAGUAACAAAGGCAAACUGGAUGAACGGCAUUACCACUUCAGCGCAUUUUAAUCCGCACUGCUCCUCGGUCCUUCUCAAUCUGUUUGGAUGAGAAUUGCCUUUUCAAAUAAG
rnacentral:lncRNA from 1 species